UCCUAAGGGUGAGGGUCUGGGCUUUGAUUGGGGAGUCCGAAAGAAUCCAUCACUCCUAUGUGGUGGGUGAAAUGGCCUCUUGAAAUGGCAGUAACCUGGGUGUUGGGAGCACCUUCAUUCAGUAGAAGAAUCUGAAGCUGGAAUCGAGGUUUGAUUGGACUCAGGCUUCGUCCCUCUGGCAACACUACAAGUUGUGUCGUGUUCUUUUAUUAGAAGGUUGCUUUGAUAUACCUCCAUUUCAAGUGUUCCAGAUCCAAGCAGUUGACAGUAGUGAGAAUCAAAGGCCCAAAUAAAGAGAACUAAAUCAUGAUGAUUGUUUUUAAGGAGCGAAA